rnacentral:lncRNA from 1 species
CACCGUCGGUAAGUCUCAAUUUUUUGUGAUUUUUUUGGCCCACCGAAGGCCCUAGGGUUGUUUUGUCCCAGGAACCAAUGCAAGUUUGUCCGAAUUCGACCGAAAACGGCCAACACGUGGCGGAUCGCUGCCGCAGGCGGCGGCGCCGUCACCGGAGCACGACGGAGCCGCCGUGCCGAAAUUCUGAUAUUGGCUGAAAGGGGCCUUAGGUCUGAUUUGGAAUU